rnacentral:rRNA from 1 species
UACGGAGGGUGCAAGCGUUAUCCGGAUUCACUGGGGUUAAAGGGUGCGUAGGAGGGCAGGUAAGUCAGUGGUGAAAUCUCCAAGCUUAACUUGGAACGGUCAGCUGAUACUGAUGUGCUAGAGUGCAGAAGGGGCAAUCGGAAUUCUUGGUGUAGCGGUGAAAUGCGUAGAUAUCAAGAGGAACACCUGAGGUGAAGACGGGUUGCUGGGCUGACACUGACGCUGAGGCGCGAAAGCCAGGGGAGCAAACGGG